UUAACACUUCAUGCUUCUCGCCUCCUCUUCUGCCUGGCUCUUUUAAUUUUUUCUUUCCUCUCUCUCUCCCUCGCGCGCUUUCUCCGUGCAAAGUGCAAGACAGAGGUGCAGCCGGGCUCGAGGAAAGGGAGGGGGUGGGGGAGAGUUGAGUUCUUUCUUGCCUUUUUUUUUUUUAAAAAAAAAGCAAAAUAGCGAAGUCCUGGGGAAAGGCGAGGCAGAGAGCAAAAGGGGGGGAGGCCGAGCCGACGAGCAGCCUGAGCUACAGCUCGAAGAUGAAAAAAGAUUUUAAAGCCUCUGAUCCAGCAAGAAGAGUUUAAAGCAAUUGCUGAGUUUUAUAGUACUUGUGACGUCAGGCCCAGAUGGGAAAUUGACUGGUACUCUGGGCCAAUGAGAGGCGGCGAGAGCGGCCGCGAUUAGCAUAAUAGUAUAGAAACAAGGAAACUUUUCGGAGCUGUCAAUCAGGGCCCAAUCAGCUGACUGUCAGCUGGGACGGGCGAGCUUAACCCUUCCCGCGCCGCCACCUCCCCCGGAGGGAGCCAAGCCGAGCGCAAAGUUUGGUGAAAGAGAGCGAAGAGUUUUCCAGAGGGGCUGCGGGAACCCGGGAGGAUAGGGAGGUCGGUUUGAUUUACUUUGGAGCUCGAAGAGGCCUGCUUUCCGGAGCCCCAGCUGACCAGCCACUCACUCCGCGGGCAUUGGCCUGAAUGCCCUCCCCUGCCAGCUCCCCGUCCCCAGGAUGGUGAAUUAGCCUGGCAGCCUUCCCUCCUCGCUCCACCUUCGGCACCCAGAUCGAUUCUUUUAAAGCUCAUGCAAGAAGGAAAAAGAAAAAGGAAAGAAAAGAAAAAGGAAACAACCAACAACUCUGUUUCUAAGAUUUUAAAGCGAUAGGCAAGUCGGAGAAGCCGAGAUUUACUAUUUGGGGGAAAGCAAGAGUGCGCGAGCGAACCCAGCGUUUGGAAGACCAGCCCGCCUGCUUGGAUGUUGGGACUGUUGAUUCUUCCAAUUAAUGAAAUGCAUUUGGUGUUAGUGCUAUUUUUUUUUUUUUACUUUGUGGGAGGGGGAAACACUAGGAGGGUGCAUUAAGAAAAGAAAAAAAAUUCUGAAAAGCCUGCAAAAGGAUCGAAGAGUGAAAACUAUUGUUGGAGCGAGUUGGUUUUUACCUCAACAGCGCCACCUUUCGGCAAAGGUCAGUUGAAAUUGAUCCGUGUCCAGUUUUGUUGAAGUGAAAAGAAGCUGGUUUCCCAAGGUGGGAGGAGGAAAGAGGCGCAGGAAGUUUGACUGCAGUGGGAGAACCCAACCUUGUAGGUAAGGGGCUGAGGACAGUGCAGGCAGGUGAGGGAGUUAUUUUUCCUCCACGGUCCCCCUGGAUUGUCCACCAAGGGGACAGGGGACACAGAAGCCUUUUGGAGUGUAAUUCUGUCUCAGAGACUUGAGCAAGUGGAUCCCAUGUAAUAGGGCCCCAAGCCCUUUAAAAGUGCCAGGAUGGAUUUCCAGCGGGCUUUAUGGCAAUAUCAAUAGAAUUAAAGUUACUUGUAAUUCAGUGAUAAAUGAGAUGUCUCUAGUAAGUAAGAUUAAGUGCAGCGCUAUAAAGUUGUUUAUCUGAAAAGUAAUUCUCAGAAAACCUGACUUCUGACACUUAGUCAUAUAUUAAGCCUCACGUCUUGAACAUUGCACUUCAGAAGGCUGUCACCCACCCCACAGCAUACUUUACUAUUUAUAACGAGACCUUAGGUGUCACUCACUGGCUUCAGACUCCAGAUUAGACUUGUGUUAAUUUCUCUGAUGCUGGCAGCCUUGGUUUCAGCAGACCCCAGGGUUCCUAAUGAGAGAAUCCCCCAAUACAGGUUUGUAGGCGCAUCAGAAUCCUAAAAGGCCAGUGCUGUUGGUAUUUUCCAGAAAAGCACCUUUUCUUUUCAUCAUUACUUCAGCGAAGUUGUUUAUAAGGGUAGUUUUGGUUUUAUGGGAAUACUUUGUCUAUUACCAGUUUGGAGAAGAAAGAGUGACGGUUAUGUCAAUAUUUAUGCAACCUAACAGAAUUCCUUUGCUUUCCACCCCUUAAACAGUAUUUUACCUAGUAAUGAAGUUAAGGGAUUAUAGCUUGUUUAUUCAGAGGAAAAUCUUAAACUACAUAAACAUACGAUGUCAUUUAGCAUUGUUCAUAGCAAUAGUUUUCUAGGCUUUUAAAAAAUCAUUAGCCACAAAUGUCUGAAGUUUAUAAUUAUUCAUGUGAAACAUGAAUUUAAAUGUAGUUAGGAAGAAUCAAUUCUUUUUUUGUUUAUAAUAUUUUUUUUUAUCCUUUGGCAUCACAUUUUUGUUAAAAGCUGUAAGGAAUGAUCCUUGUCUCUCAAGAAAGUAUUUUUGGCCAGGAGCACUGAAACUUCUGCAUUCAUAAACAACAUUUAUAAACAAAGUUCACUCAUGACGAAGACCAUGUGAUAUAGAUUCAUGGCCAUGCACCUAAUUGUUGCAAUUAUAUAUCAUUUCUAGAAAUUAAAUGCUCAUGUUUGGGCAGCUAAAUGUAUUAUUAUCUGCACUUUUUUUAUGGUUUAUUUCUGUACACUGCUGUUAAGCCAUGGUAUUUUUCUUUCUCGUAUUGCAGAGUCUUUUACAGUCUCUUAUUUUCUCUCGAAAAAAAAAGAGAGGACCAGAAUUAUUUUUUAGAUGUGUAGCAGUAGUGCUCUCAGCCUUAUAACUGAAUUCUCAUUUUUGUCCUUUUUACUUUAUUAUUUAGUGAUGCCCAGGGGUGUCCAAACAUUUACAGUUCUCCGUUAGUGGCAUUUCUUUGACAACAAUUGAGCUCUCUUAUUUUAAUUAGUACUAUUCAGGUUUUUGAUUCUGUACAAUUACAGCAGGCCACACUUCCUUAGACUUCUUUGCUCACAUUGUUUGUUUCACUUCUCUCCAAGCCCAUGUAAUCCAAGUACAAUACGAACCCUGUUUCUGUACUGCUUAAUAUCCCCUUGCUAUAUAUACGCUAGUAAUCUCUGUAGAACAAUAUAGAGUAAUUUCGAAACCA